rnacentral:lncRNA from 1 species
UGUUUCCCUUUCAAAUUCUGUGUGAAAACCCUAACGUUUUUUCACAAAGUUCAUCGCUAAUAUGAAUCUAUCGAUCUCCUUCUUCACCAUUCUCGCAAAUCCCCUUCCAAUGCCAUAUUUGGUUUUGAGGAAGAUGUGGAAACGACCCUUGAAAAAUUUCCGCCACAGAGGCAGAGUAUGCUUUUUUCAGUAAUGAUGCCCCGUUGGGUUCAGAAACUCUUGAGGAAAUACUUGAAAACACCAUUGACAAUCGAUUUGGUUGGUGACCAAGAUGCAUGAUGAGGCGGAUUAAAUGCUUGCGGUUGGGUUUAAGGAAGAUGUGGAAACGACCCUUGAAAAUCUUCCGCCAGAGGCAGAGUAUAUACCAGAAGCUUUUAUUUACUAAAAAUCUAAAAUUAUCAUCAAAAGCAUAAAUUGGGACACUGAUUUUUUACACCAAAAGCUUUAGAAAUCACAUGCUAGCAAAGCCUCACCUAUAUUUGUUUAAUGAAAAACCGUAACUUGGUUCAUUACGGGGCAAGGCCGGCUGUUUCAGCUAGGGGUGAGCAUAUCGGUUACGGUUCGGUUAAUGGGAUAAUCCAUAACCAUAACCGAUAGUUCGGUUAUGGGAGAAUCCGUAAUGGUAACCGUAACCGAUCAUUGGUUUCGGUUAAGUUCAGUUAAUCCUCGGUUACGGUUCAGUUUCGGUUAACGCAUUAUUAAAAAAAAGUGUGGCAUAUUGCAAUUUUGCUGUAUUUUUUAAAAUAAAUCGGUUGUUGUUCGGGUUAAUGCAUUAUUCAUUAUUCAGUUUCGAGUGUUUUCGGAAGCUUCAAAUGAAGAAAAGUAAGCUGCAAGUGCAUCUACAAAUGAAGAAGAUGAAACACAAUCGGUUCGGUUCGGUUAUGGUUGGUUAUGAAGAUCAUCUUAUACAUAACUAACCAUAACCGAAUGGUUCGGUUAUGAGAUCUCCAUAACCAUAAUCGAUCGGUUUGGUCGGUUUUCAGUUAAUUUCGGUUAAUUGUUUCAGUUACCGGUUCGGUUUUCGGCUACGGUUGAUAUCCUCUUUUUAAUAUGAUUAUGUUGUGUUUUAAACCAAACCCCGAAAGUAUUUCAAACUUUAACGACCGACCAACCAACCCAUCAUUUAACGGUUUACUGACAUUGAACCAAAAGCUAUUCAUUUACCGGUAAACACUCUUUUCCGAUUCGUUUACCGGUAAACACUAGCGUUGCUCGAACCACUUUCCGAUUCGUUUACCGGAUUAAAAGUCUCAUGGACAUAUCCACAUCUUCUCUGUCGGAGACGAAAUUUACAGAGAUAAUCAAAUCGGUAGGCCUCGGCAAGUUGAAAUUUGGUUCCAAAACAGAAGAGCCAGGUUCAAGUUUCAUUUAAAUACUCUUGAAAGAUCUCUCUUGCGGAUGGAUCUGCUGCUCCUCCUACCCCUGUUGAUACGUGCAAUUCGGCUCUUGAGAAAUGUAUUCAAGUGUAUCAAAAUCUCCUAAGUUGUUUUACUUAACAAAAAGUUAGAUUAUUGUAAUUUUAUUUGAUUUUUUAGUUAUAAAUGUCUCUAUUAUUAUUAUUAUUAUUUUUUUUUUUUUUUUUUUUUUUUGU